rnacentral:ncRNA from 1 species
UACUUAUCCAGAGAGGUGGAGGGAAAGGCCCUAUGAAACCUCAGCAACCCCUAUUUAGUAUUAUAGGAAGGUGCUAAUUCCGCAAAGGCAUUUAUGUCUUUUGAAAGAUAAGAG